GGUGUAAUGGUUUAAUGGGUUGAGCUUUGGACUGUGGUUCUGGAGACCAGGGUUCAAAUCCCUAGUCAGCCA